CGAACGCUGGCGGCGUGCUUAACACAUGCAAGUCGAACGUGAUUUUUGUGGAAAUUCUUUCGGGAAUGGAAAUGAAAUGAAAGUGGCGAACGGGUGAGUAACACGUGAGCAACCUACCUUACACAGGGGGAUAGCCGUUGGAAACGACGAUUAAUACCGCAUGAGACCACAGAAUCGCAUGAUAUAGGGGUCAAAGAUUUAUCGGUGUAAGAAGGGCUCGCGUCUGAUUAGCUAGUUGGAAGGGUAAAGGCCUACCAAGGCGACGAUCAGUAGCCGGUCUGAGAGGAUGAACGGCCACAUUGGAACUGAGACACGGUCCAAACUCCUACGGGAGGCAGCAGUGGGGAAUAUUGCACAAUGGGGGGAACCCUGAUGCAGCGACGCCGCGUGAGCGAAGAAGGUUUUCGAAUCGUAAAGCUCUGUCCUAUGAGAAGAUAAUGACGGUAUCAUAGGAGGAAGCCCCGGCUAAAUACGUG
rnacentral:rRNA from 1 species